GUCUGUCCAGUCGGAGCGACCAAGGGGGAACAAGAAAAUAAGUGUCUUUACAUCCAAAAUGCAAAGCAGACAGAUGGGCGCCUCAGGAAAGAACAUGACCAAGAGCACCAGCAUCGGCGGGGACAUGUACACGCUGGACAAGAACGACGGCAGCCAGUCGGACACCGCGGUGGGCACCGUCGGCGGCGGCGG